rnacentral:rRNA from 1 species
AUGAAUCCUAACUUCCGUGCUACUCAUCCAUGUGCAGAGGGGAAUAGCAGGUUAUGCAUCUCCGUGAGAGACUGCUACUGUUACAUGCUGCAAACAUGACCUACGAUAUUCAAUCCCAUACUCUGUGGAGCACGAUUGCUCCAGCAAUGGGGGGUGGACAUGUACAUCCAGAUUGAGAGUUGUAGGUUGAAAUGGUACAGGAAGAACCUGGCAAAGAUCCGUGUGAACCUGUAUAAAGGAGUUGUUGAUGCAAUUAUCCGGGAGACACGGGCAAGCGCUGUUGGGGUAAGGAUAGUGCUCCCUGGAACGUACCCAGGUGGCGACCGC